GCGGGCGUAGUUCAAUGGCAGAACAUCAGCUUCCCAAGCUGAGAAUGCGGGUUCGAUUCCCGUCGCCCGCU
rnacentral:tRNA from 1 species